rnacentral:rRNA from 1 species
AUAUCAAUAAGCGGAGGAAAAGAAACUAACAAGGAUUCCCCUAGUAACGGCGAGUGAAGCGGGAACAGCUCAAAUUUGAAAUCUCCCGAGGUUACUCGGGCGAAUUGUAGUUUAGAGAGGCGUUUUUUCGGGGGCGACUUGGGUACAAGUCCUCUGGAAAGAGGCAUCAUAGAGGGUGAGAAUCCCGUUUAUGAUCCAACGUUCGCUCCUAUGUGAUACGCUUUCCAAGAGUCAGGUAGUUUGGGAUUGCUGCCUAAAUGGGUGGUAAAUACCAUCUAAAGCUAAAUAUUGGCGAGACCGAUAGCGCACAAGUA